UCACCGCUUGCGCGGGCAGUUUCUCCAGAGUCCCCAGCAUUACCUGUUGGCAACUGAAGAUAGGGGUUGCGCUCGUUAUGGGACUUAACCCGACACCUCACGGCACGAGCUGACGACAGCCAUGCAGCACCUAGACAGCAGUUCCGAAGAAAAGUCACGUUUCCGCAACGGUCUCCUGUCUUUCAAGCCCUGGUAAGGUUCCUCGCGUAUCAUCGAAUUAAACCACAUGCUCCUCCGCUUGUGCGGGCCCCCGUCAAUUCCUUUGAGUUUCAAUCUUGCGAUCGUACUUCCCAGGUGGGAUACUUAAUACUUUCGCUCAGACACCAACAGUGUAUCGCUGAUGUCGAGUAUCCAUCGUUUACGGCGUGGACUAC
rnacentral:misc_RNA from 1 species